AGCGAGCGGAAGCUGAAGAAGGGGAGUGCGACAGGAAGUAGUUGACACGACUUUAUGAGUAUUUUGUUGGGCCUUCACUUUGCUGAGCAAUUAACCGUUUGGCUGAAAGCGUGGUGUCAGCUCCACUGCUCCUCAGACUGAGCGCUGUGGGCUGUUCAUCACUUUUACAACUCAUUUUCUCCCCAAACACUUCACACUGCACGUCUACAUACGACCUCAGCAGUAGUGCUGCUGCUGCUGCUCUGUCCUUGAGUUCCCGGUGACAGGUAAAUAUACUCUCUCGUCCAAACACAUGUCCCACAUGGUCUAUAUUUGACUUACGGGAGGUCAGCUGGACGGAUAUCGAUGCCGCACUUCAUUUUUAGAGGCCUGAUGAUGUCAUGUUGCAGUCGGUUGUGGGUUAUGGCUGUGCUAACCUGUUGCUGCGGGAAAAUAAGCUGAGGCCACAGCAGUGAUUGACAGCACAUCGCUCCACUCAAGACAUCCCACAGGGAUCAUCAUCAGGUCACACGAGCGGGAAGAAUGAAUGGAGCGACGCGGCGUUGUCACUCAAACGCAAUGGAUCACUUGAACUCCAUUGGCCUGCUGUAAUGACCCUGUGUAAGGACCUGUAAUGUGGUUUUUCCCACCGGGUUUGGGAGAAACCCUAUGCCCAGUCAUUCAGGUGGAGCAAUAAAGUGCUUUUCACUUUCUGAGGACUUCCUGUCUCCAGCGGUGUUCUCCAUUAACUCGUCACAGACGCACAGGAGCCCUCUGAUUGGUCCAGACGCUCUUUAUCGCUGCAGUUAUUCCCAGUAGGUACGGCGCUACCUGGACCCGAGAUAAGAUAGGACAACGGCCGUCUGUCAUUACUGGCUGAUGAAGGCUAUCUGAAUAUUGACCGCUGAUUACACCGCCUGUUGAGAAACACACUUGGACUUGUGGGACAGUUGCACACAGGCCUUUUAUUGUCAGGGGUAUAAGAUGGAAUAAAGAAGCAGGGUUCCCUGUGGUAACUCCUUCUGCUCCUCCUCCUCCUACCACUGCUGCUGCGCCUCCUUCCUUAGUUGCAUUCUAUUUAUUCACACCAGCUGCAGUGAUGGGCUAAAAAAGUUUUUGACACCGACUAUUGCUUUUCAUCACUGCAGCUUCCGACUGCUAACAGGGACAGAGCUACCCCCUGCACCCCCCCACUCCCACCCCCCCUGUACUCCAGAACUGUCCAAACGUUUUUCUGAUGAGCCAGAUUUAAUCAUGUAAAAAUAUCUGAGGGACAACUGCUUCUCCUGUGGAAAUAAAUACUAAAUUUAGGUGACAAACACCUGUACGCCUUUUGUUUUUAAAAUGUCCAUAAUAAACUAGCUUUAUUGGAAUAAAUGAGAUGAAGCAAUUUUUCAUGUUUUGACAAGAUUUCCAUAAAGAAAGAUGACUAGGAAAGUAGAGAAUGUAGAUGAACUAUUUUUAAACAAAAACAAUCUACUAUUUAGUGUCAUCAAUGUGC